GAUGAGAUGCCGUGGCGCCGUUCUACUAUGUAUGGCUUUAAUAACAGCCGUAUUUCAACGAAAACGGAUAAUCCGGAAAUAGUUUACCAUAAUUUUCCCAAGGAAAAACAUUAGGUUUGCCUCCACGAAAACUUCUUAAAACAACUGCUGUGCCAUCAUUAUUUCUUCCAAACAAACCACAGGAUGUAACAAGUUUACGGACACAAAGAUAUAAAAAAAAAGGAAAUGGAAGAAGAGUUACAAAGAAAAGAGGAAGAACCGAUAUAUCGAUGUAUCGACAGCGUUUCAGAUCGCUGUGUACCUUUAUGAUUUUAUAUCAAUUAAUAAUCAUUCUUUUUAUUUAAUGUGUAAUAUAAUAAAAUUAUGUUGAUAAAAAUAAAUUUAAUUUUCAAUAAGCAAAAAUUAGUAGCACUGAAAGAAAAUAAAGUCGGUUCCAUCUUAUAAGAAGACAAAC